UACGUUUAUAUAACAAUUUUCUGGUCACUUAAAGCGCUUUACAUAGAACGGGGUAAUGUCCUCAAACACCACCUAAAGUGCAAAGAUAAUGGAUAUUGAUAAAAUCUUUAUCCUUUAAAUAUUCUCAGGAUACUUCUCAGAUGUUUAAGAGUGUUCCUUGCCUGAAAAAGUGAUGGGAAGCAGAUGAACUCCUUUCUCAUGAAAAUCCAAUCUCAUCAUAGUGGAGAAGUCCAAUAAAUUCAACUGAGAACAUAUUUCAUCUUAAGUCCAGAAGAAGGAUUCCCAAAACCUUACCUGCUGUCUAACACCGCGGCUUCCCCGCUCUGCAAGCUCCGGUCUCCAGUUCUCCCCUGAGCCCAGUCAAGCCUCCGCCUCGCCAGCCUGCUGGUCGUUCCUGCCACAGAGGUCUGCUGAGUUAAUUGUACUACCCAGCCUACGGGUCAGAACCACCCGGACAGAAACAACUGCGUGUCAAAUGGUGCCCGGACACCGGAUCCUCUUCUUUGUAUAAGACUGUAAAGGGGUGCAAGCAAGGUAAUGAUGCCUCAGAUUUUAAAUUGAAAGGCAUUUAUAGAAUAUCAUAAUGGGUACAGGAACUAUGAAAGCAUCUCAUCUUAAUUGUCAAGAAUAUAAAAUAGGAUAUUUUGAACAAUCGCAUUUAUUCAUUUAACAGACCUUUUCAAUGUUUCAAUGUUUCAGCUGUUUUUGU
rnacentral:lncRNA from 1 species